rnacentral:rRNA from 1 species
AUUGAACGCUGGCGGCACGCCUAACACAUGCAAGUCGAGCGGCAGCGAGACUAGUAGCAAUACUAGUUGUCGGCGAGCGGCGGACGGGUGAGUAACACGUAGGAAUCUGCCCUUAAGCGGGGGAUAACCAAGGGAAACUUUGGCUAAUACCGCAUAAUCUCGAGAGAGCAAAGCUGCCCGCAAGGGUGGCACUUGAGGAGGAGCCUGCGUCCGAUUAGCUAGUUGGUGGGGUAAUGGCCUACCAAGGCGAGGAUCGGUAACUGGUCUGAGAGGACGACCAGUCACACUGGGACUGAGACACGGCCCAGACUCCUACGGGAGGCAGCAGUGGGGAAUAUUGGACAAUGGGGGGAACCCUGAUCCAGCGAUGCCACGUGAGUGAAGAAGGCCUUCGGGUCGUAAAGCUCUUUAGGUUGGGAAGAAGGGUAUGAGGUGAAUAGCCUUGUAUUUUGACGGUACUGACAGAAUAAGCACCGGCAAACUCUGUGCCAGCCGCCGCCGUAAAAC